AUUAGGAUUUAUUUAUUUUAUUCACAGCUGGCCGUUACGUAAGAUCGUCCAAUCCCGAGGAAAUGGCACGUGCCAAGGAUCAAUUUAGCAAAUUCGGAACUGGACAGUCACAAACCGAAUACUUAAAAGCACAUCGGGCAAACCAGAAAAAAAUAAUUGACCAAAAAAAUCCAAAAUGACUGGACUUGAUGCAAAAAAAUAUCAAUGCCGCCGUCAUCUAUGCUGGUCAUCAAUAAAAUAUGUCAUUUUGAUUUUUUUUUAUUUAUUCUAAAAUUGUUGUGCAUCGGUCAAUAAAUUUUUUUGCCUUUGUGUAUUAAUUCCAUCUGAACUAUGUGUAUUUGUUUAUAUAUACAACUACGCAGACUCAAAUUUUAAUCGAACUGAUAAAAUUCAAAGCACCAUUCGCACUGGCUGUUAGCGCAUCGAUAUGUUUGAAAAUAUCAAAAAAUUAUGCUGCCCAUCACAGUUUUAAAUAAAUAUUUAUAUGUUGUGCUAUCCCAGUGUUGGAAGAUAAAUUCAUCAUUUUGUGCGGCUAUAUUAAUAGAAAUGUAACACAGCAAGACUAAAUACAAAAAAAAAAUCAUCCAUAGCCCUUGUUUAUAAUUUAAUGGUUAAUCUUAUCGAGUAUUUUGCUUGCUUGCAACAAUUUGUUGUCAUUCAUUUUCUUGGAAAUGUACAUAGUUAUACAAAAACCAACAAACUCGUGCAUCAGUUGAAGAAAGUGUUGUUUACAUGACGAAAGAUUGAGAAAAUUUUGUUGAAAAAAAUACAACGAAUGCAAACGAAGUAAGGAGGAGAGUAUUGAAUUAACAUGCAAUGCAAAAUACAAAACGUCUAUGGGUAAAAAAAAAGUGACAAAAUUCUUUUCAGACGAAUCUAAACAUUAAAAUAUCAUUGAAUUAUAUUGAAAAAAAUAUAUCCACCGCAUGCGGAUGAGAUGAGGCAAAGCGAAAGUGAAGCGCGCAAUUUCGCACGAAGGAACCAUAUAGCGCAAAAUGACGAAGUGUUUGCCUGCUAUACCGUGCCUUCGUGUGGACUUGCGCGCUCCUCUUUCGCUUUGCUAUCCGCAUGCGGCUCAAUCAUUAAAUGAGUGGAUGUAUUUUUUCAAUGUUCGAACGAAUCAGUUUAACGCUUGAUUCUAUCUGGUAAAGUCCCAUUUUAUCGAGUUGUCUGUAAAAAUGCCGCUAGACAAGGAUAAUGCAGGCCAUCGUGAUUUUUCUGAUCGGCUUGAUGCGAAAUUUACCGGAAACAGUUUUUAUGACAAAACUGCUCGACCCAUCAUCCAUGGCGCAUAUCACGCUGGCCGUUACGUA